rnacentral:rRNA from 1 species
AAGAAGCACCGGCUAACUACGUGCCAGCAGCCGCGGUAAUACGUAGGGUGCGAGCGUUAAUCGGAAUUACUGGGCGUAAAGCGUGCGCAGGCGGUUUGGUAAGACAGACGUGAAAUCCCCGGGCUUAACCUGGGAACUGCGUUUGUGACUGCCAGACUAGAGUGUAGCAGAGGGGGGUAGAAUUCCACGUGUAGCAGUGAAAUGCGUAGAGAUGUGGAGGAAUACCGAUGGCGAAGGCAGCCCCCUGGGCUAACACUGACGCUCAUGCACGAAAGCGUGGGGAGCAA